AGUGGCGGACGGGUGAGUAACGCGUGAGAAUCUGCCUUGGGGUCGGGGACAACCACUGGAAACGGUGGCUAAUACCGGAUACGCCUUCGGGUAAAAGAUUUAUUGCCCUAAGAGGAGCUCGCGUCUGAUUAGCUAGUUGGUGAGGUAAGAGCUCACCAAGGCAGCGAUCAGUAGCUGGUCUGAGAGGACGAUCAGCCACACUGGACUGAGACACGGCCCAGACUCCUACGGGAGGCAGCAGUGGGGAAUUUUCCGCAAUGGGCGAAAGCCUGACGGAGCAAGACCGCGUGAGGGAGGAAGGCUCUUGGGUUGUAAACCUCUUUUCUCAGGGAAGAAGCUCUGACGGUACCUGAGGAAUCAGCCUCGGCUAACUCCGUGCCAGCAGCCGCGGUAAUACGGAGGAGGCAAGCGUUAUCCGGAAUUAUUGGGCGUAAAGCGUCCGCAGGUGGCGAUUCAAGUCUGCUGUCAAAGCACGGGGCUUAACUCCGUAAAGGCAGUGGAAACUGAAUAGCUAGAGUGCCGUAGGGGUAGAGGGAAUUCCCGGUGUAGCGGUGAAAUGCGUAGAGAUCGGGAAGAACAUCGGUGGCGAAAGCGCUCUACUGGACGGCAACUGACACUCAGGGACGAAAGCUAGGGGAGCGAAUGGGAUUAGAUACCCC
rnacentral:rRNA from 1 species